ensembl:misc_RNA Metazoa_SRP Metazoan signal recognition particle RNA
GCUGGGUGUGGUGGCGUGCACCUGUAAUCCUAGCUACUCAGGAGGCUGAGGUGGGAGGAUCGCUUGAACCCGGGAGGCUGAGGUUGCAAUGAGCCAAGAUCGCGUCAUUGCACUCUAGCCUGGGCAAUAUGGUGAAACCCCCAUCUCU